AUGGAGACGGCUUCUGAACCCAGCAUUGGAGAUGCGCUCACACUGCUCACACUCCAAGUAAACCCGGACAGCGGCGGCGACGGCUUAAGCCUGUCGGCGCCGCCGGACUCGGAUGACCUUCAAGCGCCGGCGUGGACCAAGUGGGUUCCUGUCGGUCAUGCACCUACUGAACUUCCACCCUGUGCCAGUAGAGUAUGCGCCCUCGAGAAAUCAUUGAGGCGAUACGCGGAGAAGAAAACGGACACUGUCGUGCUGCCUGAAGCCGGAACCAACUUCGAUUCACUGGGAGAGGCAUAUGACUACUACAAUCUGUAUUCGUGGGAGGUUGGAUUCGGAAUAAGGUACGGGAAGACCAGGCUGAACGUCGGGAGAACAAAAUGUAUGCAGGAGAUAGUGUGCGGGCGCUCGGGCAAGCCGAAAAUGAAUAGUAAACAGUCAUGCCGCUGUAAGUGCCCUGCAAUGAUACGUUUGCUGCGGUCGAGUGAUGGUGGCUGGCACAUAAGCGAGCACAGGCCAUCACACAACCACUCCCUUACAGAUAACUGCGGGGAAAAGGUACACUGGCCUUCGCACGGGCAUAUAGAUAUAUAUAUACAAGAGAUCUUGUCAAUCAGCUCCGAGAGAAUAAUGUUAGCAUCGGUGAACUGUACAACAUAA
rnacentral:rRNA from 1 species